rnacentral:tRNA from 1 species
AAUCAAUGAACUUGAAUAAGUAUAUAUUUUGAAAAUAUAAUAAAGAAUAAAACUUCUAUUGAUUU